GAUGAACGCUGGCGGCGUGCCUAAUACAUGCAAGUCGAGCGAACAGACGCGGAGCUUGCUCCUCUGACGUUAGCGGCGGACGGGUGAGUAACACGUGGAUACCCUCCCUGUCAGACUGGGAUCACUUCGGGAAACCGGCGCUAAUCCCGUAUGAUCUCUUGAACCACAGUGUUCAAUAGUGAAAUACGGUUUUUGUGUCUCUUCUCGCGGGUUCCCCGCCGCAUGAGCGAGUAGUUACGGUAACGGCUUACCAAGGCAACGAUGCGUAGCCGACCGGAGAGGGUGAUCGGCCACCCGGGAACUGAGACACGGUCCAGACGCCUAAGGGAGGCAGCAGUAGGGAAUCUUCCGCAAUGGGCGGAAGCCUGACGGAGCAACGCCGCGCGAGUGAUGAAGGUCUUCGGAUCGUAAAACUCUGUUAUUAGGGAAGAACAAAUGUGUAAGUAACUAUGCACGUCUUGACGGUACCGAAUCAGAAAGCCACGGCUAACUACGUG
rnacentral:rRNA from 1 species